rnacentral:rRNA from 1 species
CGCUGGCGGCGUGCUUAACACAUGCAAGUCGAGCGAGGAACUUCGGUUCCUAGCGGCGAACGGGUGAGUAACACGUGGGCAACCUGCCCCGAGCUCUGGGAUAACUUCGGGAAACCGGGGCUAAUACCGGAUAUGACACUACUGGACAUCUGGUGGUGUGGAAAGAUUUAUCGGCUUGGGAUGGGCCCGCGGCCUAUCAGCUUGUUGGUGGGGUAACGGCCUACCAAGGCGACGACGGGUAGCCGGCCUGAGAGGGCGAUCGGCCACACUGGGACUGAGACACGGCCCAGACUCCUACGGGAGGCAGCAGUGGGGAAUAUUGCGCAAUGGGCGGAAGCCUGACGCAGCGACGCCGCGUGGGGGAUGAA